AGCCUGAGCUUUGGGCCCUCCAUCCCCCCCCAGCCCCACCUGGCGUUCCCUGGAAACCGGCCUUCUGGAGAUGGCGCACGCGGCCGGGGAUGGGGGCGACUGGAAGGGGGUGCCCGUGGCUUCCUUUGGGCCUUUCCUUCCAACUAGCGCCUGCAGGUGGACCCGGGUUGACUUGCCUCACCUCCCUCGGGCGGCCGACCUUUGGAUGGCGGACCUCAGCCGCCCCAGGGUUGCGAGGCGACGGGCGUGCUGGCCCAGGCCACCAGGCGGGCUCCAUCAGGGCUUUGGGUGUUCAGGACAAAGAGGUGUGGGCAGGCCACUGGGCCGGCUGGUAACAUCAUGGCAGAGAAAGUGAACAACUUCCCACCAUUGCCCAAAUUCAUCCCGCUGAAGCCAUGUUUCUACCAAGACUUCGAGGCAGAUAUUCCUCCCCAGCAUCUCAGCAUGACCAAGCGCCUCUACUACCUCUGGAUGUGACUGACAGCUCCUUCAGUUUCAUGGCAUUCUUCUUUACCUUCAUGGCUCAGUUGGUCAUCAGCAUCAUCCAGGCCG
rnacentral:sRNA from 1 species